rnacentral:lncRNA from 1 species
UUACCAAAUCAAAUUCUCCUUAAAGGCUUUCUUAAAAAAAAAAAAAGAAUUUAUUUUUAUUUUAUGUGCAUUGGUAUUUUGUUUAUUGGUAUGCCUGUGUGAGGGUGUCAGAUCCCCUGGAACUGGAGUUGCCGACAGCGGUGAGCUGCCAUGUCAGUGCUGGGAGUUGAGUCCUGAGUCUUUGGAAGAUGAGCCCAUGCUCUUAACUGUAGUACCAUCUCCCCAGCCCCUUUAAAAGCUUUCUUACGAUGAUCAGGGUCAGUGUGGGAAUUAGAAUCAGGAUGCAGAUGCUGUCUUCUUGAAUCUCCCUGUGCACACAUCCCAGGGCUCAGGCAGAGACCUCCACUCCUGUACUCCCAGAAGCCCUCUCUGGGUAGGACCUUCUCCUUUCUCUUUCUUUUCCUGCUUCCUCUGCCCACAGUGCAUCCUGUGCUUUCUGUCGCCUCUCUUAAGUGCUCUCUGGAAAGCAGGUCUUAUAACCAUUGCUGUUGGCCUGUGAGACACUUUCAAUGGUUUCUUAGCACAGAUUUCACAGGAAGGUCACCAGCCACUGGCCCGAUUU